rnacentral:rRNA from 1 species
UACGAACCGUUCUAGCGUUGUCCGGAAUUAUUGGGCGUAAAGAGCUCGUAGGCGGUUUGUCACGUCUGCUGUGAAAAUCCAAGGCUCAACCUUGGACUUGCAGUGGGUACGGGCAGGCUAGAGUGCGGGAGGGGAGAUGGGAAUUCCUGGUGUAGCGGUGGAAUGCGCAGAUAUCAGGAGGAACACCAAAGGCGAAGGCACAUCUCUGGGCCGUAACUGACGGCGAGGAGCGAAAGCGUGGGGAGCGAACAGGAUUAGAUACCAUGGUAGUCCACGCCGUAAACGGUGGGUGCUAGCCGUGGGCCACAUUCCACGUGGUCCGUGACGAAGAUAACACAUUAAGCACCCCGCCUGGGGAGUACGGCCGCAAGGCUAAAACUCAAAGGAAUCGACGGGGGCCCGCACAAGCGGCGGAGCAUGCGGAUUAAUUUGAUGCAACGCGAAGAACCUCACCAAGGCCUGACAUAUAGAGGAAAAGUGCAGAGAUGCACUCGCCGCAAGGUCUCUAUACAGGUGGUGCAUGGUAGUCGUCAGCAUCGAGUCGUGAGAUGAAGGCUGAAGUCCCGCAACGAGCGCAACCCUCGUCCUAUGUCGCCAGUCACGUUAUGGUGGGAACUCAUGGGAUACUCCCGGGGUCAACUCGGAGGAAGGUGGGGAGGACGUCAAAUCAUCAUGCCCCUUAUGUCUUGGGCUUCACGCACGCUACAAUGGCCGGUACAGAGGGCAGCAAUACCGUAAGGUGGAGCGAAUCCCAAAAAACCGGUCUCAGUUCGGAGUGAGGUGUGCAACUCGACCUCAAGAAGUCGGAGUCGCUAGUAAUUGUAGAUCAGCAACGCUACGGUGAAUACGUUCCCGGGCCU